GGCUAGGUGGUCUAGCGGUUAGAACGCUGGCCUUGUAAUCCUGGGGUCUCGGGUUCGAUUCCCGGCGGUGCCC
rnacentral:tRNA from 1 species